GGGGAAUAUUGCACAAUGGGGGAAACCCUGAUGCAGCAACGCCGCGUGAGUGAUGACGGUCUUCGGAUUGUAAAGCUCUGUCUUUAGGGACGAUAAUGACGGUACCUAAGGAGGAAGCCACGGCUAACUACGUGCCAGCAGCCGCGGUAAUACGUAGGUGGCAAGCGUUGUCCGGAUUUACUGGGCGUAAAGGGAGCGUAGGUGGAUAUUUAAGUGGGAUGUGAAAUACCCGGGCUUAACCUGGGUGCUGCAUUCCAAACUGGAUAUCUAGAGUGCAGGAGAGGAAAGGAGAAUUCCUAGUGUAGCGGUGAAAUGCGUAGAGAUUAGGAAGAAUACCAGUGGCGAAGGCGCCUUUCUGGACUGUAACUGACACUGAGGCUCGAAAGCGUGGGGAGCAAAC
rnacentral:rRNA from 1 species